AGAGUUUGAUCCUGGCUCAGGACGAACGCUGGCGGCGUGCUUAACACAUGCAAGUCGAACGGACCAAGUGGAUAGCUUGCUAGAAGCUUGGUUAGUGGCGGACGGGUGAGUAACACGUGGAUAAUCUGCCUUUGACACUGGGACAACACUGUGAAAACGGUGCUAAUACCGGAUACCUUAGUUAGUUCUCAUGAAUUGAUUAAGAAAGGAGCAAUCCGGUCAAAGAUGAGUCCGCGGCUGAUUAGCUAGUUGGUGAGGUAACGGCCCACCAAGGCGACGAUCAGUAGCCGGCCUGAGAGGGUGAACGGCCACACUGGGACUGAGACACGGCCCAGACUCCUACGGGAGGCAGCAGUGGGGAAUCUUCCGCAAUGGACGAAAGUCUGACGGAGCAACGCCGCGUGAGUGAAGAAGGCCUUCGGGUUGUAAAACUCUGUCUUCAGGGAAGAAAAAAAUGAC
rnacentral:rRNA from 1 species